CAGGUUGUUCCAGCGUCGGGAGUUUGACAGCGUAACGGAAUGAAUCUUCACUGCGGUCCCAGUUUCAGGGUCAUCUCUCCAGAGUACCCGUUGAUAAUCCACAUCUGAUUCCGAGAUCUUCACUUGCCGAUACAUUUUGGCUAUGUCAGACGUGAGACAAACGGGGAGGCAUCGUACACUACCCGUACCUUCGUCGUUUCCCUGUCUUCUCGUAUGACUGCGUGAUGGGAUAUCUCCCUGGAGUUGUCUACACAAGGAGGAUCAUUCUUCAAGGGAAGUCGAACUACAUAUCUCCCUUCCCCGUCUCUUGAAGUUGUCUUUGUGAAUAUCUCCUCACAUCUUUUUUCUUCCUCUGUAAACAUUUUUUCUCUUUUUAUUUCAGGUUCCGCUUCCAGUUCCCAG